UACGUAGGGGGCAAGCGUUGUCCGGAAUUAUUGGGCGUAAAGCGCGGGCAGGCGGUCAAUUAAGUUGGGUGUUUAAGCCCGGGGCUCAACCCCGGUUCGCAUCCAAAACUGGUUGACUUGAGUGUAGGAGAGGAAAGUGGAAUUCCACGUGUAGCGGUGAAAUGCGUAGAGAUGUGGAGGAACACCAGUGGCGAAGGCGACUUUCUGGUCUGUAACUGACGCUGAGGCGCGAAAGCGUGGGGAGCGAACAGG
rnacentral:rRNA from 1 species